rnacentral:lncRNA from 1 species
CAAGCCGGAAAGGCCCCCCAAUCUGCCAGGAAUUGGUAGCAAGCAAAAUGUUCAGUGCACUUCAUAUGAGGAAAAAAAGAAUGUUAAAUGCACACUGCAUGUUUAUUGGCUCAGUCCUCUGUAAGAUACUUUCAUUAUUCGUAGUUCAUCAAUUCAGUGAAUAAUGAGCCACUGCUAGUGCGCCAUAAUGAGCCUGGGAUGGGAUGAAGCUGGCCAGAGAGGCUCACAGUCCCUUCCCUCUGCUACUCAGAGAGAAGCCAGGAAGAGAGCUACUAAGCAAACAGCUACAGCUCUGAUGAUUCUCUAGAGGAGGAGAGAAAGGCACCAGGUGCAGGUUUAGCAGUGCCACCUGGGACCACUGAGGAGCGCAGCGUCUCCUCCUCCACCCGACCCUCAGACCCUCGGCCUUUUCUGUGUACGUGUGUGGCCGUGUGCUGCAACUUCCAAGGCCGCAGGACACACCCUGGAGCAUCCAACAUCAGUGCAGAAUACAUGGGCUCCUUGCACCACCAAAGCUCUAUGAGAGCGCCCAAUAAUUUUUGUUUACGGGAUUUUCUCCCCUUUAAUACAGUCUUUACUCUGUCUUUUUGUCUUUCUCGGGC